GGUUACCUCAGGUCAGAGAAGACUACCCGCUGGACUUAAGCAUAUCACUAAGCGGAGGAAAAGAAACUAACUAGGAUUCCCCCAGUAACUGCGAGUGAAGAGGGAAGAGCUCAUCAUUGGAAUCUGGCGGUGUUGCACCGUCCGAGUUGUAGAUGAGGAGUGGUUCGUCUGGACUGCAUGGCGUCCAAGUACAAUAGGCCGUCAGUGGGACAUCAUAKAGGGUGACAAUCCCGUCCUUGAUGCCAAUGUGCAAGUCCAUUACGAUGGCCAUCUCAGAGAGUCRAGCAGUUUGGGAUUUGCUGCUUAAACAUGGGABGUAGAUUCCUUCUAAAGCUAAAUACAGGCAAGAGACCGAUAGAGAACAAGUACCGCAAGGGAAAGAUGAAAUAGCACUCUGUGAAGGGAGUCAAAAGGCGUGAAAUUGUUGCGAGAGAAGCGAUUCAAGUCAGCGUAGCUAGGCCCAUUAAGCCUCUUUGCGCUUUGGACUAGCUUUGCCAGCKGUCUUGUCCUUAGAGACUUGACUUGUAUGUCCAGCCUGGUAUGCACAGGUAGCCCUCCGGGGUCAGUGACAUGGCUGGUGGAAUGGCUUGCAAUCGACCCGUCUUGAAACACGGACCAAGGAGUCUAACAUGUAUGCGAGUAUAAGGGUGGCAAACCCGUAUGCGCAAUGAAAGUGAUUUUCGGUGAUUGAGAAUGGCCUGAUGACCAGACAAGCAAUAUAUGUCCCUCGUACGGCCAUUGCCCAAGUUCCGUGGUAGAUCCCACGAACAUGGAGUUGGAGCAUACAUGCUAGGACCCGAAAGAUGGUGAACUAUGCCUGGACAAAGC
rnacentral:rRNA from 1 species